UUAGUCUUGUAAUUUAAGACUGGAAUGAAAGAAUAAACGAGAUAAGUCUUUUCUUAGUUAUUAUUUUUGAACUUUACUUUUUAGUAAGAAGGCUAAAAUACUCCCUUAAGACAAGAAGACCCUAUAAAGCUUUACACAAGACAAUUUAAUAAAUUAAUAAUGUGUUUUACUGGGGCGGUAGAAAGAAAAACACUUUUAUAUUAAAAAGAUGAAACAGUCUUUAUACCCAAAAAUUUUGAAAAUUAAAUAAGUUACUUUAGGGAUAACAGCGUUAUACAUCUAGAAAGCUCAAAUUGACAGGUGUGUUUGCGACCUCGAUGUUGGAUUAGACUACCUUUAUCGCGCAAGAG
rnacentral:rRNA from 1 species